rnacentral:rRNA from 1 species
UACGUAGGGGGCAAGCGUUGUCCGGAUUUAUUGGGCGUAAAGAGCGUGUAGGCGGCCAGGUAGGUCCGUUGUGAAAACUCGAGGCUCAACCUCGAGCUGUCGAUGGAAACCAUCUGGCUAGAGUCCGGAAGAGGAGAGUGGAAUUCCCGGUGUAGCGGUGAAAUGCGUAGAUAUCGAGAGGAACACCUGCGGCGAAGGCGGGUAGCUGGGCCGACACUGACGCUGAUGCGCGAAAGCCAGGGAGCGAACGGG